rnacentral:tRNA from 1 species
GCCGGGGUGGCGGAACUGGCAGACGCAACGGACUUAAAAUCCGUCGGAAAGAGAUUUCCGUACCGGUUCGAUUCCGGUCCUCGGCACCA